rnacentral:lncRNA from 1 species
GUUCGCGCCGCGCGGGUCUUGGCUCAUCGUUCUCUGCCCGUCUUCUCUCACCUCUCAUCUCUCUCCGGACCUCCGGCGAAUUGCGGCAGCACUCCACGACCCAGAAUCAGCCGGAGACCGCCGUCUUAUGAAGUUUCUGAAGCAGAAUAUCAGGUAUUUGAAGUGUUCAUUACUAUGUUAGUGCCAAUAUGCUUCCUGAUAUGCCCCAUGUUUUAUGCCGUUUUUUUUUUUUUCUGGGUGAAUCAAUAGUCAUGAUAAAUUGAUUGGAAAAUGGAGACACGAAAAUGGAGUUCCUCAAUUCUAUCAGAUACAGUAUUUAUUGGAAAAUAGGAAUUCUACAAUUUCGAUUAGGAAGAAGCUUGGCUUUCAAUGUUAAUGGAGCAGAGUAUAUAAUGUUAUUAGUAUGUUGUACCUUUAGCUAAUGGGAAAGACAUCUCAUCAGCCUUAUUAUCUAAAUCAAACAUCCUAUUUCCAGUCAUUGAGAAAGUGAGAUUCUAAACCAAACAUCCUAUUUCCCAGUAUAAUUAGCUUUACAUGGAGAAGAGAAGAUAAAAGAGUUCAAGAACAGAAAAUGAGAUAUAAUCGAGAUACUAAGUAUCGUCGAUUAAAACUACGAUCAACAAACUAGUACAGUUUAUCAAUUUCUAAUCUCUUGGAGAUAGCAGCACCUGGUUAACCAUAUUGUCCAAAUCCAAGAAAGAUGAGCCAUGAGGGCCAGUAGUGGCCUUCUCUGCCAACUUCUUCCACUCCAUGGAUUUCUUCCUCAUCUCUUUUCCUUCCUCUCCCUCCAUUAACUUCCUAACAACGCUUUCUAUGUAGUUUCUCUUAACAUCACCCUCCAUCUCUAUGCCUAUACCCCAUUCUUUGCAACAGUACCUACAGUUGGUUUGUUGCUCGCCGUUGAAGGGCCAACAGAUCAUCGGCACUCCCCCACACACACUUUCAAUGGUUGAGUUCCAGCCACUAUGAGUCAAGAACCCUCCUAUAGCUGGAUGGCUUAGGACUUGUUCUUGACAGCACCAACUUGCUAGUAGCCCUCUUUCUUUAGUCUGUUCUAUAAACUCUGGGGGCAGGACAGGUGAUUCUCCCCCAACCAGGUCAGGUCUAAUGACCCAAAAAAAGGUCUUGCUGCUGUCUGCAAGUCCCCAAGCAAAUUCAAUUAGCUGCUCAUCUGUCAUGACUGUACUACUUCCAAAGUUGACAUAUAUCACAGAACUAGGUUCUUUAGAGUCAAGCCAUUCAAAACAGUCUGGUUCUUCUCUCCAUAGAUUUGCUCCAAUCAACUUGAAGUUGCUAUCUUCAGCUGGUAUCUGGUUAAGUUGUAGGUAUAGGGGUCCAAUGGAGUAUAUAGGUGGUAGCAAAUGCGAAAUUGCCUCUAGAACUUCAUGCUCUAAGGCAUCAAAUGUGUUCAAAAUGAUAGCAGAAGCUCUUUGAACUUGUUCUGUAUCGUGCAAAAUUAAGUGCAGAAUGGGGUCAUUUGGGUCAGUGGUUCUCAUGAAGGUUGGGAUAUCCUUCAAUUGGAUUCCUUUCAUUCCUGGAAUCCAAUCUAUCACUGUAUCCAAAUACCCGUUUGUCAAAUAACUGUCAUCUGCAAGUCAACCAAGAACAUAGUACUACUGAAGUGAGUCAAGUUUUGUAAUGCAAAAGAUCUAGAACAAAUUAUAGACUUAUAGCAUGCAGGUUAGUUAGAUAAUCAAUGCCUCUCCAUAUGUCCAAUGAUCAGAGAUUUAAAGCCAUUUCCAAAUCUAUAUGAAAUCUAUAACAAGUCAUUAGUUCCAUAAUAUCUGCUUCUUCUUUUUUUCAUAAAACCAAAUGAGACUUCACGAAGUAGUGAUAUCCUGCCUUUUCAUAAUUAGUAAUCAGUACCUUUAAGAGGAACCAAACCCUUCUCGAUGAGAUUGUAAUAUUGAAGGUAUCCCAUGAAACCACAAGCACUUGUUGUCCAGAAAAUAACUUCAGGAAGGCCAAGUUCUUGGGCUGCAUCAAGAGUGAAGUUCAUGAUGCCAUCAGCAACUAUGCAGGUCACUGGAGGCGAAUUUGGGGAAGAAUUGAGCUUCAAAAGAAGGUCUCUGAAGGGUGCUAGGCAGUUUUUCCUUGUGGACUCGCAUAGCGAUGGCAUGUGUUGUGUGGCAACGUUUGCAUCAGUUGGAGGAAGACCAUCUGGAAUUGU